UUGCUGCUCUCUUCUGGAGCAGUGGGAUAUUGGGCAGUUCACUUAACCUCUCUGAGCUCCUUCCUCAAGCCUUUUUUUCCUGACUACAGCGAGCAACAGCUGUUUGAGAUGGUGGAGCACAUUCUUGCUGGUGAAAGGAAGCAAGGUCAACAGAGACUCAUAGAGGAAACAUUCAACAACUUGAACAGUAAGCAAGUUGCAGUUUCCGUCUCAGUGGACUGAGGUGAUACAGCAGAUUUUGCUGUGGACCAAGAUCCAGUUUUCCUCAUAACACUCACAGGUAUUAAAUGACUAAUCCAGAUCCCCAGCACCACAUCAAGGUAGGUGACAGAAGAUUAACAAGUUCCUAACUGUUCUUUAAGUGUAAUUUGUUGCAACGUUCUGAAACUGAUUAAUAUCCCCUCCCCUUCUUGCCCUGAAAUGAAUCUGGUGGUAUUAAAUUAAAUAAAAUAGUUCCAGUUUGUCCAUAA
rnacentral:lncRNA from 10 species